rnacentral:rRNA from 1 species
AACGAACGCUGGCGGCAGGCCUAACACAUGCAAGUCGAGCGCCCCGCAAGGGGAGCGGCGGACGGGUGAGUAACGCGUGGGAACGUACCCUUUGCUACGGAAUAGCCUCGGGAAACUGGGAGUAAUACCGUAUGUGUCCUUCGGGAGAAAGAUUUAUCGGCAAGGGAUCGGCCCGCGUUGGAUUAGGUAGUUGGUGGGGUAAUGGCCUACCAAGCCGACGAUCCACAGCUGGUUUGAGAGGAUGAUCAGCCACACUGGGACUGAGACACGGCCCAGACUCCUACGGGAGGCAGCAGUGGGGAAUCUUAGACAAUGGGCGCAAGCCUGAUCUAGCCAUGCCGCGUGAGCGAUGAAGGCCUUAGGGUUGUAAAGCUCUUUCAGGGGGGAAGAUAAUGACUGUACCCCCAGAAGAAGCCCCGGCUAACUCCGUG